rnacentral:tRNA from 1 species
GCCUAGCUGGCUCAGUCGGUGGAGCACCUGACUCUUGAUCUCGGGGUUGUGAGUUCGGGUCCCAUGUUGGAUG